UCAGCAGGUUCGAGCACACGAGUCGGGGUUUUUCUUCAAUAUGAAGUAUUUUGAGGAUGUCGUGACGAAUAGGGAAUGGGACGAGGUCGAGAGGUAUCUCUUUGUAUUCACAAAGGUGGAUGAUAACAGAUACUCGUUGACGAUCUUUUUUGAGAUCAGGAAGCAAAAACACCUUGAAGCCCUAGACAAGCACGAUCGUUCUAAAGCUGUAGAGAUUCUUGUGAAGGACUUGAAAGUGUUCUCGGCUUUUAAUGAAGAGCUUUUCAAGGAAAUAACGCAGCUUGUCACAUUGGACAAUUCAAGUGUGGAAAAACAUUACACCAUUAAGUGCCUGUUUUCUGUGGUUUAAGUACAAGUGGAACCUAUUGUUUAGUUUCUAUUGGAAUACUGAUAAGAAAUGUCUUACUUACAGGGAGAACGAGCAGCUCUCUUAAGUACAGAGAAUACUAAGUCUGCUUGGGUUAUAAUGCUUGCUGAACUUGAAAAGUUGAUUGAGGCAAAUACAGUUUUCCGUGAUAAGCUUCAGUUUCCCAGCCUGAAAAACUCAAGAUUAAGGACCUUAAUCAAUCAGAGUUUAAAUUGGAAACACCAGCUUUGCAAGAAUCCUAGGCCUAACCCCGACAUAAAGAGUCUCUUUGUGGAUCAUACUUGUGGACAACCAAAUGGCGCUCUCCAUCCCCUGCCCCAAGUAUUGGGUCCAUUCCUAAAGCAAGAGGUUUUCCACAACUAAGUGCUUAUGGUAUAAGUGAAAUUAAGGAACAACCUCUGUUUCUUACGAGUGACUAAAUUGUUCAUCUUCAUGAGGUCUGACUUGGUGUUCAUUUUCUCAGCCAUUUCUUGCCGUACCAAAACCUGAUCCAUCUUUUAUUGCAUGAGCCUUUUCUCCUGCUUACUGUUCAGUUUAUGAUGCUUGCAAUUUUUUCUUUGAGGACUCCAUGGAUUUUAAUCUGUGAAAGAUGUUAUGCAAAGUAUGGUGGAUGAUGACCUUGUUUUGAAGGACAAGAUAGGCAUCUAUGUAAGUAUUUGGUUCAAUAGGAAUUAUGAAAAGUCAGUGUUUGUACAUGAAAGAUAUGUUCUUGUGUUUUAUUGCCUAUAGUAAUUGGAUGUUGGAAUUUCUUCCAUACAUGCUUGUCUAGAUUUCAUCUAUGCUAAGUUCAUUUUCCCACUUCCCAAGUUUACUUUUGAAGUGGAUGAUGACCUUGUUUUGAAGGACAAGAAUAGGCAUCUCUAUAAGUAUUUGGUUCAAUAGGAAUUAUGAAAAGUCAGUGUUUGUACAUGAAAGAUAUGUUCUUGUGUUGUAUUGCCCAUAGUAAUUGGAUGUUGGAAUUUCUUCCAUACAUGCUUGUCCAGAUUUCAUCUAUGCUAAGUUCAUUUUCCCACUUCCAAGUUUACUUUUGAUGUCUUUCGAGUUAUGCUGGUAAUCAGGUGAAGAUUUGAGUCCCUCUACCCCCAAUCCUCUCUCUCUUUCCUCCCCAGUCCUUUAAUGCCUUGGCCUGCUUUAUGAAGUGGUUUUGUGUAACUGUUAAAUGAUAGCAUCAUAUUUGUUAUGAUCAUCAUUUUAUUGUUUGUAUGGCUGAGGACUGUGCACUGCAAACUAGAAUUUGAUCUUGAAAUUGGUACGAAAAGGCUUGCAGAAUUUAUGGAUCAGAGGGAUGGAUUAAAGAAGGGCAGAGAGGCCUCUGUAAAUGUUUAUUGCUUUUCUAGAAUUGCUAAAGAGAUUUAAAUUGUGGGGCUUUUACAUUUACCUUUCAGGGCUUCAUCACAGGAUGAGCGAGGGCAGGCCUUGAAUGAGCUCAAAUCCAGGCAGUUUCAAGUCUCCUUUUGUUCCAGACUUAAUAUUUUGAAAAUCUUUAAUGGAAGUCUAUGGUUAGGAGAAUCUGCUCUAAUUUUGAAGGACGAAUUGGGGAGAUAUACUGUCAAUAUUCUAGCUGCCCUUGAAGCUAUGAGUCUGAAAAACAUGCUUAUUCAUAUUAUUAUUCUUUAAUAAACGGUUUUGUCGUAUUUCUCUGAAACUUUUCCAGACAAACACUUUCAUUUUCACAUUUGCAGGUAAUGCAAUUGAGGUUGCCGAUACAGCAUCUAACAGGUGGACUGCCAAUAUCUUCACAGUAAGGAAGUGGUGUUCAAACAAUUUUCCCGAAGCCAAAGAACAACUUGAACACAUGUACAGGGAGGUAACU